rnacentral:lncRNA from 1 species
GUCUGGGGAAUUCUGACCAGAAACAUGGGUCCAUCAGCCUGGGCAAGAAUGAGAUGGAAUUUCCAGAGGACACAGUUAAAUGACUAUGGUCAGGAUGGAGCAGAGCUACUACUGAAAGGGCUGACUGUGGCUGAUUUUCGAGAGGGGACACAGAAAGUGAUGCAUGGUGAAGAGCCACCACCUUGGUGAAGGACAAAGAGAGAAAAUGCUGUGUUGAGGUGAGAAACACAAAGUGAAUAAGACAUAUGGUCUAUUCUAGAGCUGACUAUGACUGAUUGAUGGCCCAGGACCACAAGCUCAGCUAACAACACACACCGUGUUCCAACAUGUCAAGUUUCUUGAAAUUUCUGUAGCAACAGAAUAAAGAAAGUCAUAGAUCAAGGUACUCUUGAAAUGCAUUGGUGACAAUGUGGGGCAGGAAGAUACGUCAAAAUGGGGACUACAAGCUUUCUGAUGCUGUCUGAUUAUAGUCUACCUUUGGAGUAGUGAGCCAAUGGGACUCUUUGUACAUUCCAAAAAUGUUUUGAAUUAGAAGUCACAAGGAGGGUUCAGUGAUAAAGUAUGUCUAACAUCACCUUAUCCACUCACCUGUAGACAAGACAGGUGAGGACUCUGAAUGAUGCUGACAUGAAGAUAAUUACAGAGACUCCCAUCUGAAUCCAAGCUUUCAGUUUUCUAGGUUGUAUUCAUUUCAUCACUGAUCGAAUGAUUGACAGCAACAAUAAGAGGAAGGAUUUAAUUGGCUCAAAGUUCAAGGGAUAUCAGUCCAUUAUGAAGGUGAAACAGGAAUCUAUGGCUAUGUGUGUAGUGGAAGGAACUUUGGCCUGUUCAUGACAACCCAGAAGCAAAGAGCAGAGGGCCAAGAGCAAGGACAAUGUUGGAAACAAAGCAAGAAUUCUAUAAGAAGAAUCUACAGGCUGAAGAUGCUCUGCUCAAGUUUUUGCAGUCCAAGGAGAAUGUGACUGACACAAUUCUACAGGGAUCCACAAAGGAACAAGCUGGACUACUAGAGGAGGGAUUCCAGCAGGAAAUAAAAAAAAACUUGAGGAUGAAAAGAAGUAUCUCCGGAAAGGAAACUGAACCACAGAUGGCAUUGUAAGCUAAGGGUCUAAGAAUAACGCCAUUCUGCCACUCAAACAGAGCUGAACAGGGUCACAUCAAUUGAUAAUGAUUGGGUCCUCCAUCAGAAAACUAAAAAUCUGGAAAGAUGUGCAGUGUGAUCAUUGAAAUCCUGUUUAUCUUCUUAUAAGAUUGUGCUCCAAGAAUAUCAUUGACAUCUCUACCACAAGAGAGGCGUCAACAGGGCUACUCAGAAGAAAGUCCCUUUUCCAGAUAAUCACCAGGAGACAAAUAGACACUGAUCACAGUCUGUUUUAAAAAAUAAUUUAUUUAUUUUUAUUGUUUUAUGUGUGUCAGUGUUUUGCCUGCAUGUAUGUCCAUGUGGGGGUGACAGACCUUGGAGUUAUAGACAGUCAUGAGCUGCCAUAUGGGUGCUGGGAUUUGAACCCAGGUUCUCUGGAAGAGCAGUGCUCUUUAACCUCUGAGAUAUUUCUUCAGCCCCAUACUGAGCACAUUCUUAAAUGGUGGCACACAAUUAGGAACCAAGUUGUCCAGGGAUGUGAUGGCUCUGAAAGACAGGGAAAGCCAGCCUCAUUUGUUUUGGAGACAAUAUAAAGUUCUGGAUUAUAUCAAAAGUGCUCAACCUUUCAGCAAUGGCAUGAUUUGUGGACACUGGCAAUGAGCAACCCUAUCAAUACACUCCAUCAUAAAUCAAGACAGCUGCAUGGAGAUCUAGAGUACCCAUAUACAAUAUCCACAGGAAGAUGGAAGAAGCCAUUAGCAUGGCAAGGAACUGCUCCACUGUUGAAGAAGGAAAUAUUCCAGUUCAUAUGGAUGGAAACUGUAACAGGACAUUUCCAAACUCUAAGGGUUGACACGGACUACAUAGUAAUACGAUGACAACUAAGCACAAUGUAUAGCUUAUGUACUUAUGUAUAAACUAUACAUAAGUAUGUGUUAUGUAUACUUCAUAUAUAAAAAUACAUAACUUUAAAAGGGCUUUAAAUGGUGCUGGGUAACCUAUAGAUAUCAAAGGAAUUUUAAUUAUUUAUCUUUAAUUAUAAACUUACACUACUCUUUGUCCUAUUAUUAGCAACUAUACUUGAAAUCCUGUUGAUUUUCCCCAAGCAUAAUAAAGAUUCUUCUCUGUAUUUUGACCAGCUCUCAUUUCAU